UCGGCACUCACGAUGGCCUUGGACACAAUCCUGAGCAACAAGAUGUUGAAAUACUAUUUGGACCUGGCUAUACUGGUCUUGCGGAUCUUGGGAAUAGUUGAUAUAUGGCUUCAAUAAUGCAAGUCAUGUUUUUAACCCACCAUUCCAUAUCAAGAUACUUUGAGAAACAGAGUUUGAAAGCUGCAUUUGCUACUGCACUAGCUGAUCCAACAGUAGACCUAAACAUGCAAAUGUAAGUUGUCUUGCUGAAUUACCAAAUCUAAACUGCACUUGGAGUAAGUCAUGUAUGGAUUUCUAUUCCAAAUGUCUUCACUGCUAAUGAUGCUUGUUUUAGAAAUGUAGUGUGAAUGACAAUGAAACUAACCCCACUUGCUGAUGAUGUAGCAAUCAUCAUUCUGGCUAGCAUGCACCCAAGGUUGACCAAACUGAUUCGACAGUUUUGGGAUGAGAUCAUAACGUUCGUCCGACUUUUGCAGAGAUCAUUACAGAACUCCAAGAUAUUCUACACCAUAUCUAGGUAGCAUGAUCCGCUAUAAUACUGAACAACUCUUAUAUGUGUCUAGGUGUGAUAAUAAGGGAAUAAAGUUGUAGCUAAUAUGAUUUCUUAGGAGCCACUUGCCAUGUCCUUUUUGUUUAAUACAAUAACUUGGCCUAAGCGUAUAUUGUUUUUAACAGGCA